GACGAACGCUGGCGGCGUGCUUAACACAUGCCAGUCGAACGGAAAGGCCCUGCUUUUGUGGGGUGCUCGAGUGGCGAACGGGUGAGUAACACGUGAGUAACCUGCCCUUGACUUUGGGAUAACUUCAGGAAACUGGGGCUAAUACCGGAUAGGGGCUCCUGCUGCAUGGUGGGGGUUGGAAAGUUUCGGCGGUUGGGGAUGGACUCGCGGCUUAUCAGCUUGUUGGUGGGGUAGUGGCUUACCAAGGCUUUGACGGGUAGCCGGCCUGAGAGGGUGACCGGCCACAUUGGGACUGAGAUACGGCCCAGACUCCUACGGGAGGCAGCAGUGGGGAAUAUUGCACAAUGGGCGGAAGCCUGAUGCAGCAACGCCGCGUGCGGGAUGACGGCCUUCGGGUUGUAAACCGCUUUCGCCUGUGACGAAGCGUGAGUGACGGUAAUGGGUAAAGAAGCACCGGCUAACUACGU
rnacentral:rRNA from 1 species